GAGUUUGCGGACAUUAGUCAGGAGGAACAGGUUUCAAGACUUCAUAAAAUGCUGGCACCUCAUCUGCUCAGAAGACUCAAGAAAGAUGUCAUGACAGAGCUGCCUCCUAAAAAGGAACUCAUUUUACGUGUGGAACUGAGUAGUAAGCAGAAAGAAUAUUACAAAGCUAUUCUGACUCGUAACUUCCAGAUACUGACUCGCAAGGGAGGUGCUCAGAUUUCGCUUAUAAAUGUGGUGAUGGAGCUGCGCAAGCUUUGCUGUCAUCCAUUUAUGUUAGAAGGUGUUGAGCCAGAGGACAAUGAUGAGUUUACCAAAGAGCUGCUGGAAUCAUCUGGAAAAUUACAACUUCUUGACAAGAUGAUGGUUAGGCUUAAAGAACAAGGACACAGAGUUCUUAUAUAUUCUCAAUUUCAGCAUAUGCUUGAUUUGCUGGAAGACUACUGUAAUUAUAGGAAAUGGCAAUAUGAAAGGAUUGAUGGAAAAGUUGGC
rnacentral:misc_RNA from 1 species